UACAGGAGGUCUCAAGCGUUUGUUCGGAUUCAUUGGGCGUAAAGGGUGCGUAGGUGGCGCCGUAAGAUCCAGGUGUGAAAUUUCGGGAGCUUUAACUCCGAAACUGCAUUUGGAUACUGCGGUUGCGUUGAGGACUGGAGAGGAGACUGGAAUUUAACGGGUGUAGCAGUGAAAUGCGUAGAGAGUCGUAAGGGAAGACCCAGUGGCGAAGGCGGGUCUCUGGACAGUUC
rnacentral:rRNA from 1 species